CUUCAGUGUAACUCUUCAUUUUGUACCUCAUCGUGUGACAUUAACCUGCUGUAUAAACUCAGAUGCAUACGAGCCUGUAACAUUAUUAUCAGCACAAAUGAUUGCUGGGAGUAUCGUCAUGUUUAACUCUCCACUGAAGGGACAUGGGCAACAAAAGACUGGAAAAGCUGUGGAGUGCUGAGUUAUUAAUAUUCAGGAACAAACCACGACACGCCCCCUCACUGAUUCAGUCACCUGUACAGACCUGUGAGGUGUGUCUGAGCCCUUUUCUCUGCUGUUGCUGGGGGUUACACAUGAUGGAGGUGAACUAACAGAGAAGGUAACUGUAGGUAUCUCAGCUGACAAUGCAGUGUGUAAAGAUGUAAUUUAUUUACAAAUCUUUGAUCAAGGAUAGCGUACGUGAGGAUAAGUGUGUGGAUAAUCUACACACAGACUUUGCCACCAGGAGACACUCACAGAAGAGUUGAUCACCACAGAGUCAUCAGUGCCACCCUGUACAGCUGCAUCUCAAUACACCUGAACACAUUCAAGUUUCAUAUAUUUUAGCUUCAUUUCACAUAGUAGUCACAAGUGGCUGGUUUGCUGACCAUGGUAUCACUGUGCUUGACUGGCCAGCAAACUGGCCUGACCUGAACCUCACAGAGAAUCCAUUAAGUAUUGUCAAGAUGGAGAUGACAGACAUCAGACCCAACAAUACAGGUUAGCUGAAGGCAGCUAUCAAAUUAGCCUGGGUUUCCAUAACACCUCAUCAGUGUCACAGGCUGAUCGCCUCCAUGCCACGCCACCUCGAUGCAGUAAUUCAUGCAAA